GAUGAAGAACGUAGCGAAAUGCGAUAAGUAAUGUGAAUUGCAGAAUUCAGUGAAUCAUCGAAUCUUUGAACGCACAUUGCGCCCGCUAGUAUUCUGGCGGGCAUGCCUGUCCGAGCGUCAUUUCAACCCUCAAGCCCCCGGGCUUGGUGUUGGGGAUCGGCGAGCCUCCGCGCCCGCCGUCCCCUAAAUCUAGUGGCGGUCUCGCUGUAGCUUCCUCUGCGUAGUAGCACACCUCGCACUGGGAAACAGCGCGGCCACGCCGUUAAACCCCCAACUUCUGAACGUUUGACCUCGGAUAAGGUAGGAAUACCCGCUGAACUUAAGCAUAUCAAUAAGCGGAGGA
rnacentral:misc_RNA from 1 species